UAGUACGGCGAGUGAAGAGGGAAGAGCCCAAGAUUGAAAGCUGGCGUCUUCGGCGUCCGCAUUGUAAUCUCAAGAAGUGUUUUCCGCUUCGGACCAAGCCUAAGUCCCCUGGAAAGGGGCAUCAUAGAGGGUGAUAAUCCCGUACAUGGCUUGGAGCGCCCGAGGCUUUGUGAUACGCUUUCUAAGAGUCGAGUUGUUUGGGAAUGCAGCUCAAAAUGGGUGGUAAAUGCCAUCUAAGGCUAAAUAUUGGGGAGAGACCGAUAGCGAACAAGUACAGUGAUGGAAAGAUGAAAAGAACUUUGAAAAGAGAGUUAAACAGUACGUGAAAUUGCCAAAAGGGAAGGGUAGGAGGUCAGAGAUGCGGCCUGGGAUUCAGCCUUGCUUUUGCUUGGUGUUUUUCCCAGAUUGCAGGCCAACGUCGGUUUUGGGCACUGGAGAAGGGUAGGAGGAACGUGGCACCUCUCGGGGUGUGUUAUAGCCUCCUACUGGAUACAGCGACCGAGACCGAGGACAGCAGCGUACUCGCAAGAGCGGGCCUUCGGGCACCUUUACGCUUAGGGCGUUGGCAUAAUGGCCCUCUACCACCCGUCUUGA
rnacentral:rRNA from 1 species